CACGUAGUUAGCCGGUGCUUAUUCUUCAGGUACCGUCAUUAGCGCUCUGUAUUAGAAAGCACCGUUUUUUCCCUGACAAAAGGGCUUUACAACCCGAAGGCCUUCUUCACUCACGCGGCAUUGCUGGAUCAGGCUUGCGCCCAUUGUCCAAAAUUCCCCACUGCUGCCUCCCGUAGGAGUCUGGACCGUGUCUCAGUUCCAGUGUGGCUGGUCGUCCUCUCAGACCAGCUACUGAUCGAUGCCUUGGUAGGCUUUUACCCUACCAACUAGCUAAUCAGAUAUCGGCCGCUCCAGGAGCAUGAGGUUCUUGCGAAUCCCCCAUUUCAUCCUUAGAUCGUAUGCGGUAUAGCGUAACUUUCGCUACGUUACUCCCCCACUCCGAGGGUUACCGUUCCGAUAUAUUACUCUACCCGUUCGCCACGUCCGCCGCCAGGUUCGCCCCGCGCUGCCGUUCGACUUGCUAUCGUGUAGGCAUCGCCGCAGCUUCAUUC
rnacentral:rRNA from 1 species